UACGGAGGGUGCAAGCGUUAAUCGGAAUUACUGGGCGUAAAGGUUCGUAGGUUGUUUAUCAAGUUAUCUGUGAAAUCCCUGGGCUUAACCUGGGAAUUGCAGUCGAUACUACUCAGCUAGAGUAUGGGAGAGGGUAGUGGAAUUCCCGGUGUAGCGGUGAAAUGCGUAGAUAUCGGGAAGAACACCCGUGGCGAAGGCGCUCUCUGGGACGGUACUGACGCUGAGACGCGAAGCGUGGGAGCGAACAG
rnacentral:rRNA from 1 species